AAUUAAUAUUAUAAUUAUUUUAGCAUUUCCUAGAAAUUAAGUAUUUUUUCAAUUUUUUCCUUAUAUAUUAAUAUAAAAGUGAAAACCAAGAAAAACACUUUAAUAAACUUUUGAGAAUUUGUACUUUAAUUUUUGUGUUUUUACGUAAUGAUUUCCAUUAUCUAAAAAUACAUAAGGAUUCGUAUGCCUCCAAUUAUAAGAUGAAAAAUUUUCUUUUGUGUUUUAUUCUUAAAAAUAUAUAUCUCUAUAAACUAAGAAAGCAUAGUGAUUAUGCUUUUGGUUACUUAUUUUUUUUCUAAUAGUACUAUUCCUUUUUUAUUACAUAUGAUAAUGUGAAGUCUACAUAAUUUACAUAAAUUUUAUUUUUUUAUAUAUGUUGAAGAAAAAGGGUAAAAUAAUAUGCCUAUAAAAUAAUUGUCUGGAAAGUAUUUAAAAAAUAUAGUGUAUUUUUAAUUUUUUUUUGUUCAUUAUACGAAUUAUUAUUCUCAUUAUUUAGGAACUUUAUUACUAAAAUAUGGCUUCUGUUUUAAUAGAAUUUCAAAUUAGUCCAUCUUGUUAUUAAUUUUAAUAUAUAUUAAAUAAAAUUAAUAGUAGAGUUUAAAUUAAAGAAAUUAAAUAAGAUAAAAUAUUAAAUAAAAUUUUAAAAUGUAUUAAAUUUUUCUUUA